ACUACGGGGGGCUGCAGUGGGGAAUAUUGGACAAUGGGCGAAAGCCUGAUCCAGCCAUGCCGCGUGUGUGAAGAAGGCCUUCGGGUUGUAAAGCACUUUCAGUGGGGAAGAAAGCCUUGGGGCUAAUACCCUCGAGGAAGGACAUCACCCACAGAAGAAGCACCGGCUAACUCCGUGCCAGCAGCCGCGGUAAUACGGAGGGUGCGAGCGUUAAUCGGAAUUACUGGGCGGAAAGCGCGCGUAGGCGGUCUGAUAAGCCGGUUGUGAAAGCCCCGGGCUCAACCUGGGAACGGCAUCCGGAACUGUCAGGCUAGAGUGCAGGAGAGGAAGGUAGAAUUCCCGGUGUAGCGGUGAAAUGCGUAGAGAUCGGGAGGAAUACCAGUGGCGAAGGCGGCCUUCUGGACUGACACUGACGCUGAGGUGCGAAAGCGUGGGUAGCAAACAGGAUUAGAUACCCGUGUAGUC
rnacentral:rRNA from 1 species